rnacentral:rRNA from 1 species
UUAAGCGACUAAGCGUACACGGUGGAUGCCCUGGCAGUCAGAGGCGAUGAAGGACGUGCUAAUCUGCGAAAAGCGUCGGUAAGGUGAUAUGAACCGUUAUAACCGGCGAUGUCCGAAUGGGGAAACCCAGUGCAAUUCGUUGCACUAUCGUUAACUGAAUACAUAGGUUAACGAGGCGAACCGGGGGAACUGAAACAUCUAAGUACCCCGAGGAAAAGAAAUCAACCGAGAUUCCCCCAGUAGCGGCGAGCGAACGGGGAGCAGCCCAGAGUCUGAAUCAGCUUGUGUGUUAGUGGAACGGUCUGGAAAGUCCGACGGUACAGGGUGAUAGUCCCGUACACCAAAAUGCACAGGUUGUGAACUCGAAGAGUAGGGCGGGACACGUGGUAUCCUGUCUGAAUAUGGGGGGACCAUCCUCCAAGGCUAAAUACUCCUGACUGACCGAUAGUGAACCAGUACCGUGAGGGAAAGGCGAAAAGAACCCCGGCGAGGGGAGUGAAAAAGAACCUGAAACCGUGUACGUACAAGCAGUGGGAGCACCUUCGGGUGUGACUGCGUACCUUUUGUAUAAUGGGUCAGCGACUUAUAUUCUGUAGCAAGGUUAACCGUAUAGGGGAGCCGCAGGGAAACCGAGUCUUAACUGGGCGUUAAGUUGCAGGGUAUAGACCCGAAACCCGGUGAUCUAGCCAUGGGCAGGUUGAAGGUUGGGUAACACUAACUGGAGGACCGAACCGACUAAUGUUGAAAAAUUAGCGGAUGACUUGUGGCUGGGGGUGAAAGGCCAAUCAAACCGGGAGAUAGCUGGUUCUCCCCGAAAGCUAUUUAGGUAGCGCCUCGUGAACUCAUCUUCGGGGGUAGAGCACUGUUUCGGCUAGGGGGUCAUCCCGACUUACCAACCCGAUGCAAACUACGAAUACCGAAGAAUGUUAUCACGGGAGACACACGGCGGGUGCUAACGUCCGUCGUGAAGAGGGAAACAACCCAGACCGCCAGCUAAGGUCCCAAAGUCAUGGUUAAGUGGGAAACGAUGUGGGAAGGCACAGACAGCCAGGAUGUUGGCUUAGAAGCAGCCAUCAUUUAAAGAAAGCGUAAUAGCUCACUGGUCGAGUCGGCCUGCGCGGAAGAUGUAACGGGGCUAAACCAUGCACCGAAGCUGCGGCAGCGACACUAUGUGUUGUUGGGUAGGGGAGCGUUCUGUAAGCCUGCGAAGGUGUGCUGUGAGGCAUGCUGGAGGUAUCAGAAGUGCGAAUGCUGACAUAAGUAACGAUAAAGCGGGUGAAAAGCCCGCUCGCCGGAAGACCAAGGGUUCCUGUCCAACGUUAAUCGGGGCAGGGUGAGUCGACCCCUAAGGCGAGGCCGAAAGGCGUAGUCGAUGGGAAACAGGUUAAUAUUCCUGUACUUGGUGUUACUGCGAAGGGGGGACGGAGAAGGCUAUGUUAGCCGGGCGACGGUUGUCCCGGUUUAAGCAUGUAGGCUGGUUAUCCAGGCAAAUCCGGAUAAUCAAGGCUGAGGUGUGAUGACGAGGCACUACGGUGCUGAAGUAACAAAUGCCCUGCUUCCAGGAAAAGCCUCUAAGCAUCAGGUAACAUCAAAUCGUACCCCAAACCGACACAGGUGGUCAGGUAGAGAAUACCAAGGCGCUUGAGAGAACUCGGGUGAAGGAACUAGGCAAAAUGGUGCCGUAACUUCGGGAGAAGGCACGCUGGUGUGUAGGUGAAGCCCCUGCGGGUGGAGCUGAGACCAGUCGAAGAUACCAGCUGGCUGCAACUGUUUAUUAAAAACACAGCACUGUGCAAACACGAAAGUGGACGUAUACGGUGUGACGCCUGCCCGGUGCCGGAAGGUUAAUUGAUGGGGUUAUCCGUAAGGAGAAGCUCUUGAUCGAAGCCCCGGUAAACGGCGGCCGUAACUAUAACGGUCCUAAGGUAGCGAAAUUCCUUGUCGGGUAAGUUCCGACCUGCACGAAUGGCGUAAUGAUGGCCAGGCUGUCUCCACCCGAGACUCAGUGAAAUUGAACUCGCUGUGAAGAUGCAGUGUACCCGCGGCAAGACGGAAAGACCCCGUGAACCUUUACUAUAGCUUGACACUGAACAUUGAGCCUUGAUGUGUAGGAUAGGUGGGAGGCUUUGAAGCGUGGACGCCAGUCUGCGUGGAGCCAACCUUGAAAUACCACCCUUUAAUGUUUGAUGUUCUAACGUUGGCCCCUGACCGGGGUUGCGGACAGUGUCUGGUGGGUAGUUUGACUGGGGCGGUCUCCUCCCAAAGCGUAACGGAGGAGCACGAAGGUUAGCUAAUCCUGGUCGGACAUCAGGAGGUUAGUGCAAUGGCAUAAGCUAGCUUGACUGCGAGCGUGACGGCGCGAGCAGGUGCGAAAGCAGGUCAUAGUGAUCCGGUGGUUCUGAAUGGAAGGGCCAUCGCUCAACGGAUAAAAGGUACUCCGGGGAUAACAGGCUGAUACCGCCCAAGAGUUCAUAUCGACGGCGGUGUUUGGCACCUCGAUGUCGGCUCAUCACAUCCUGGGGCUGAAGUAGGUCCCAAGGGUAUGGCUGUUCGCCAUUUAAAGUGGUACGCGAGCUGGGUUUAGAACGUCGUGAGACAGUUCGGUCCCUAUCUGCCGUGGGCGCUGGAGAAUUGAGGGGGGCUGCUCCUAGUACGAGAGGACCGGAGUGGACGCAUCACUGGUGUUCGGGUUGUCAUGCCAAUGGCACUGCCCGGUAGCUAAAUGCGGAAGAGAUAAGUGCUGAAAGCAUCUAAGCACGAAACUUGCCCCGAGAUGAGUUCUCCCUGAGACUUUAAGUCUCCUGAAGGAACGUUGAAGACGAUGACGUUGAUAGGCCGGGUGUGUAAGCGCAGCGAUGCGUUGAGCUAACCGGUACUAAUGAACCGUGAGGCUUAACCUU